GGCGGGGGGGUGGGGGUGGGGGGUCCAGACCAAACCAGGACUGACACACUGAGACCCUCCACAGACCAGAGACCAGGACCGAGGCAGCUGCUGCAGGAGACGUGUGGCAAAGUAAAAACACAAACAGCUCCUGUACAGAGCGUCUGUUUGGUUCAGUGUGUCCAUUCUGGGCUCCUGUAGAAACAUGGAGGACUCUGUGGAGGAGGAGCUGCUCCUGUGCAAACUGCUUGAUGAUCAGUCUGAGGUGAUUACACUCUGAUAACAUGUUGUUGUAGAUUAGAUUCUGUAAAUGUUUCAUGCUGGAGCUUUAAGUUACAGUAUCUGAGUAAAAGUACUCAGUUACUUCUAUGAAUCACUGCCUCCCUGCUGUGUGUGUGUUUCAGGGUGUGUGGUGUGUUUCCUCCCAGGGUCGGGCAGGUCCGGGAUGCGGUGCACUGUUGUCUUACCCUCCCUCCAAUAUUGCACUCGUCCCGGCCUCCCCGGCCCAGGGGUCACGACCUCCUCCUCCUCCGGACGGAGCGAGCAGCUGGUGGAGCUCAGAGAGACAAGGUUUUUACCGUCUGAGUCUUUCUGGUUCGGGUUGACGAUGAGUCUGCAGUUGUCGUAGUCGUCGAGGACGCCGUCGUUGUCGUCGUCGUGGUCGCAGUCGUCUCCGAGGCCGUCGUUGUCGGAGUCGAGCUGG